GUUACUCAGUUCAGAUUGCAGGCUGCAACCCGCCUGCAUGAAGUCGGAAUUGCUAGUAAUCGCGGAUCAGCAUGCCGCGGUGAAUACGUUCCCGGGCCUUGUACACACCGCCCGUCACACCAUGAGAGUCGGGAACACCCGAAGUCCGUAGUCUAACCGCAAGGGGGACGCGGCCGAAGGUGGGUUCGAUAAUUGGGGUGAAGUCGUAACAAGGUAUC
rnacentral:rRNA from 1 species